rnacentral:rRNA from 1 species
AGUGAACGCUGGCGGCGUGCCUAACACAUGCAAGUCGAACGAUGAUGGAUGAGCUUGCUCAUCCUGAUUAGUGGCGCACGGGUGAGUAUACCAUAGAUAAUGUAUCCCUUAGUUCGGGAUAGCCACUGGAAACGGUGAUUAAUACCGGAUACUCCUUCUUGCCAUAAGGUAAGUCGGGAAAGUUUUUUCGCCAAGGGAUCAGUCUAUGUCAUAUCAGGUAGUUGGUGAGGUAACGGCUCACCAAGCCUAUGACGGGUAUCUGGUUUGAGAGGAUGAUCAGACACCCUGGAACUGAGACACGGUCCAGACUCCUACGGGAGGCAGCAGUGGGGAAUAUUGCACAAUGGAGGAAACUCUGAUGCAGCAACGCCGCGUGGAGGAUGACGCAUUUCGGUGUGUAAACUCCUUUUAAGAGGGAAGAUUAUGACGGUACCUCUUGAAUAAGCACCGGCUAACUCCGUGCCAGCCGCCGCAGUAA